rnacentral:rRNA from 1 species
UACGUAGGUGACAAGCGUUGUCCGGAUUUACUGGGCGUAAAGAGCGCGCAGGCGGUCGAUCAAGUCGAGUGUGAAAGCCCCCGGCUCAACUGGGGAGGGUCAUUCGAUACUGAUCGACUCGAAGGCAGGAGAGGGUAGUGGAAUUCCCGGUGUAGUGGUGAAGUGCGUAGAUAUCGGGAGGAACACCAGUGGCGAAGGCGACUACCUGGCCUGUUCUUGACGCUGAGGCGCGAAAGCUAGGGGAGCAAACGGG